rnacentral:rRNA from 1 species
GCAGCUUGCUGCUUCGCUGACGAGUGGCGGACGGGUGAGUAAUGUCUGGGAAACUGCCUGAUGGAGGGGGAUAACUACUGGAAACGGUGGCUAAUACCGCAUAACGUCGCAAGACCAAAGAGGGGGACCUUCGGGCCUCUUGCCAUCAGAUGUGCCCAGAUGGGAUUAGCUUGUUGGUGAGGUAACGGCUCACCAAGGCGACGAUCCCUAGCUGGUCUGAGAGGAUGACCAGCCACACUGGAACUGAGACACGGUCCAGACUCCUACGGGAGGCAGCAGUGGGGAAUAUUGCACAAUGGGCGCAAGCCUGAUGCAGCCAUGCCGCGUGUAUGAAGAAGGCCUUCGGGUUGUAAAGUACUUUCAGCGGGGAGGAAGGUGUUGUGGUUAAUAACCGCAGCAAUUGACGUUACCCGCAGAAGAAGCACCGGCUAACUCCGUGCCAGCAGCCGCGGUAAUACGGAGGGUGCAAGCGUUAAUCGGAAUUACUGGGCGUAAAGCGCACGCAGGCGGUCUGUCAAGUCGGAUGUGAAAUCCCCGGGCUCAACCUGGGAACUGCAUUCGAAACUGGCAGGCUUGAGUCUUGUAGAGGGGGG